UACGGAGGGAGCUAGCGUUGUUCGGAAUUACUGGGCGUAAAGCGCGCGUAGGCGGCUUUGUAAGUUAGAGGUGAAAGCCCGGGGCUCAACCCCGGAACAGCCUUUAAGACUGCAUCGCUAGAAUCCGGGAGAGGUGAGUGGAAUUCCUGGUGUAGCGGUGAAAUGCGCAGAUAUCAGGAGGAACACCGAUGGCGAAGGCAGCUCGCUGGGGACGGUACUGACGCUGAGACGCGAAAAGCGUGGGGAGCAAACAGG
rnacentral:rRNA from 1 species